rnacentral:rRNA from 1 species
UAAUACGGAGGGGGCUAGCGUUGUUCGGAAUUACUGGGCGUAAAGCGCGCGUAGGCGGUUUGCCAAGUUGGGGGUGAAAUCCCGGGGCUUAACCCCGGAACUGCCCUCAAAACUGGUUGGCUGGAGUGUGGGAGAGGAGAGCGGAAUUCCCAGUGUAGAGGUGAAAUUCGUAGAUAUUGGGAAGAACACCAGUGGCGAAGGCGGCUCUCUGGACCACAACUGACGCUGAGGCGCGAAAGCGUGGGGAGCAAACAGGAUUAGAUACCCUGGUAGUCCACGCCGUAAACGAUGAGUGCUAGACGUUGGGGGGCUUGCCCCUCAGUGUCGGAGCUAACGCAUUAAGCACUCCGCCUGGGGAGUACGACCGCAAGGUUA